rnacentral:rRNA from 1 species
CAGCCGCCGCGGUAAUACGGAGGGUGCAAGCGUUAAUCGGAAUUACUGGGCGUAAAGCGCGCGUAGGUGGUUCGCCAAGUUGGAUGUGAAAUCCCCGGGCUCAACCUGGGAACUGCAUCCAAAACUGGCGAGCUAGAGUAUGGUAGAGGGUGGUGGAAUUUCCUGUGUAGCGGUGAAAUGCGUAGAUAUAGGAAGGAACAUCAGUGGCGAAGGCGACCACCUGGACUGAUACUGACACUGAGGUGCGAAAGCGUGGGGAGCAAACAGGAUUAGAUACCCCAGUAGUCCCUGUCUCUUAUAC